GUCAGACUUUUUUCUUUUGGUCCCCCACCCCCGUUUUGAAAUUUUGUAUUUCGUUUCCAUAUACAUCAAGAUGUUUGAAACUUAAAAAAAGAAUAAUGUUUUUCCUAGAAGACUCUGCUAGAAAAGAAAAGGAAAAAGGAAACAAAAACCCUACGGGCGCCGUCCCCAGGAGCGCCGAGAUCGCCGAGUUAGGAAGCCCGGCCAGGUCUCUUGAUGUCAGAAAGAUGGGCCACUUCUUGGGCCCGUUUUCGAAGUGUCUGUGA
rnacentral:lncRNA from 1 species